rnacentral:rRNA from 1 species
AUGAACGCUGGCGGCGUGCUUAACACAUGCCAGUCGAACGAAGCACUUUAUUUGAUUUCCUUCGGGACUGAUUAUUUUGUGACUGAGUGGCGGACGGGUGAGUAACGCGUGGGUAACCUGCCUUGUACAGGGGGAUAACAGUUGGAAACGGCUGCUAAUACCGCAUAAGCGCACAGCAUCGCAUGAUGCAGUGUGAAAAACUCCGGUGGUAUAAGAUGGACCCGCGUUGGAUUAGCUAGUUGGUGAGGUAACGGCCCACCAAGGCGACGAUCCAUAGCCGAACUGAGAGGGUGACCGGCCACAUUGGGACUGAGACACGGCCCAAACUCCUACGGGAGGCAGCAGUGGGGAAUAUUGCACAAUGGGCGAAAGCCUGAUGCAGCGACGCCGCGUGAGCGAAGAAGUAUUUCGGUAUGUAAAGCUCUAUCAGCAGGGAAGAUAAUGACGGUACCUGACGAAGAAGCACCGGCUAAAUACGUG